AGAGCGAACGCUGGCGGCAGGCUUAACACAUGCAAGUCGAGCGCCUGUAGCAAUACAGGAGCGGCAGACGGGAGAGUAACACGUGGGAACGUACCCUUUGGUUCGGAACAACACAGGGAAACUUGUGCUAAUACCGAAUAAGCCCUUACGGGGAAAGAUUUAUCGCCGAAGGAUCGGCCCGCGUCUGAUUAGCUAGUUGGUGGGGUAAUGGCUCACCAAGGCGACGAUCAGUAGCUGGUCUGAGAGGAUGACCAGCCUCAUUGGGACUGAGACACGGCUCAAACUCCUACGGGAGGCAGCAGUGGGGAAUAUUGGACAAUGGGCGCAAGCCUGAUCCAGCCAUGCCGCGUGGAUGAUGAAGGCCUUAGGGUUGUAAAGUCCGUUUUAACGGGGAAGAUAAUGACGGUACCGUAGAAUAAGCCCGGCUAACUUCGUGCCAGCAGCCGC
rnacentral:rRNA from 1 species